rnacentral:rRNA from 1 species
GAUGAAACGCUGGCGGCGUGCCUAACGCAUGCAAGUCGAGCGACCUUCUUCGGAAGAGAGCGGCGGACGGGUGAGUAACGCGUGGGUAACCUGCCCUGUACACACGGAUAAACAUACCGAAAAGGUAUGCUAAUACGAGAUAAUAUACUUUUAUCGCAUGGUAGAAGUAUCAAAAGCUUUUUGCGGUACAGGAUGGACCCGCGUCUGAUUAGCUAGUUGGUAAGGUAACGGCUUACCAAGGCGACGAUCAGUAGCCGACCUGAGAGGGUGAUCGGCCACAUUGGAACUGAGACACGGUCCAAACUCCUACGGGAGGCAGCAGUGGGGAAUAUUGCACAAUGGGCGAAAGCCUGAUGCAGCAAUGCCGCGUGAGCGAUGAAGGCC